CCUACGGGGGGCAGCAGUGAGGAAUAUUGGUCAAUGGGCUUACGCCUGAACCAGCCAAGUCGCGUGAGGGAAGACUGCUCUAUGGGUUGUAAACCCCUUUUGUCAGGGAGCAACGCCGGCUACGUGUAGCCGGACUGAGAGUACCUGAAGAAAAAGCAUCGGCUAACUCCGUGCCAGCAGCCGCGGAAAAACGGGGGAUGCGAGCGUGAUCCGGAUCUUUUGGGUUUAAGGGGUUCGUAGGCGGAACGCCAAGUCAGCGGUAAAGUCGCGGGGCUCAACCUCGCUCCGCCGUUGAAACUGGCGUACGAGAGUGGGCGAGAAGUAUGCGGAAUGCGUGGUGUAGCAGUGAAAUGCAUAGAUAUCACGAAGAACUACGAUUGCGAAGGCAGCAUACCGGCGCCCAACUGACGCUGAAGCACGAAGGCGUGGGUAUCGAACAGGAUUAGAUACCCUAGUAGUC
rnacentral:rRNA from 1 species